AGGGAAAUGGCUGAGAAUUAGGCGAUAAAUUGUAAAUUUAUUUACGAAUAGCAAUAUUCUUUUUCUA
rnacentral:tRNA from 1 species